CUUAGAUUAAAUAAAAUUUGACCAUGCAGCCCGCGUUCGGUGUUUGUUGACAGUAAGAUUGACAUUAAAAGACGGUCCAAGGCAAGGUAAUAUCUGUCUUGCAUUCUGUGUGCAUUAAUGCCUAGUGCAAUUUCGUUAUAAUGUUACAUCAUUUUUGCUAUAAUGCACCAACCAUUUUUAAGUUGACAUUUUUAAAAUGAAUUUUAGAAAAUAAAAAAGGUUAUAAUACACUUUGACUAAUUUAUCAUUAUUAUGAUAAAUUCAAUCGUUAUGACGACUUGUUCCGCUGAUCCCAGAAUUCUUCUAAUCAUUUCAGACCUUCUUCUAAGCAGCAAAGUAUUCUAUAUUUUGUUCUGGCUUCCAGGAAAACAUAAUCCAUACACCCAGUGAUACGGCUGG